rnacentral:rRNA from 1 species
UAUUAAUCGGUCUUGGAAUAAGGGCUGGGAAAGACCGGUGCCAGCCGCCGCGGUAAUACCGGCAGCUCAAGUGGUCGUCGCUUUUAUUGGGCCUAAAACGUCCGUAGCCUGUUUGGUAAAUCUGUGGGUAAAUCAACCAGCUUAACUGGUUGAAUUCUGCAGGGACUGCCAGACUAGGGACCGGGAGAGGUGUGGGGUACUCUAGGGGUAGGGGUAAAAUCCUGUCAUCCUUAGAGGACCACCAGUUGCGAAGGCGCCACACUGGAACGGAUCCGACGGUCAGGGACGAAACCUAGGGGCACGAACCGGAUUAGAUACCCGGGUAGUCCUAGGUGUAAACGCUGUGAACUUGGUGUCGGGAGUCCGCAAUGGGCCCCCGGUGCCGGAGUGAAGAUGUUAAGUUCACUGCCUGGGGAGUACGGUCGCAAGGCUGAAACUUAAAG